CAUGAAAUGAAAUAAAGCAAGAUUUAAAGUACAUGUAUGCUAUGAUUAUGGCCACAUUUUUUAAAUUGCAUGCUUAAAAAACUGAUAAUGUGAAAUUAUGGGUGAUCAUUUCUUUAUUUUGAAUUUUCCAGAUUUUCAGCCAAAUAACUAUCAGUUUUAUAAUUUACCUUCCCCAAAAAACAUCGCAAUGGAAAUGGAGAGACAAGUAGACCAAGGAACCACCAAGUGAAAGCACUGCCCAGAAACAGGAAAAUCCUGGGCAAAAAUAAGCAGGAGCGGCCUCAGGAGUGAAAUAGGUGGCUCCAGACUAAUGGGAAGGAAGAGAAACAGACCAGCAUCUAAAUACAGAGUGAUUCUUCUAUUAGGCAAAAUAUCUCCCAACACCAUCUAAAAUUCUCCUUGACCCAGAAAUUCUACCUCUAAGAGUUGAUUUGAUGCAGAGACAAAGGAUCAGUAAGAAUGUAUUCCUGGGUCUUCACAAGAUGGCUGGAUAGGAACAGCUCUGGUCUGC